CCUGCCUCCAAGCGGGGGACAACUCCUCUAACGAGGGGCUAAUACCGCAUAAUGCAUCGUUCUCGCAUGUGAAUGUUGCCAAAGGUGGCCUCUUCUUGAAAGCUGCCACUUGGAGAUGGACCCGCGCUCCAUUAGCUUGUUGGUGAGGUAACGGCUCACCAAGGCUACGAUGGAUAGCCGGCCUGAGAGGGUGAUCGGCCACACUGGAACUGAGACAAGGUCCAGUCCCCUACGGGGGCCAGCAGUCUAGAAAUUUGCACAAUGAACGAAAGUUCGAUGCAGCGACGCCACGUGAAGGAUGAAGCCUCUAGGGGUGUAAACUUCUGUCAGGAGGGAAGAAUGCGGAGGGGUGAAUAGCCUCUUCGUUUGACGGUACCUUCAGAGGAAGCUCCGGCUAACUUCGUGCCAGCAGCCGCGGUAAUACGAAGGGAGCGAGCGUUGUUCGGAUUUACUGGGCGUAAAGGGCGCGUAGGCGGGCUUGUAAGUCGAAUGUGAAAACUGUGGGCUCUACCGACAGACUGCAUUCGAAACUACAUGCCUUGAGUCUAGGAGAGGAGAGCGGAAUCGGCAGUGUAGCGGUGAAAUGCGUAGAUAUUGCCGAGAACACCGGUGGCGAAGGCGGCUCUCUGGUCUAGUACUGACGCUAAGGCGCGAAAGCUAGGGGAGCGAACGGGAUUAGAUACCCCGGUAGUCCUAGCCGUAAACGAUGGGCACUUGGUGUUGGAGGUGUUGACCCCUUCAGUGCCGCAGCUAACGCAUUAAGUGCCCCGCCUGGGGAGUACGGUCGCGAGGCUGAAACUCAAAGGAAUUGACGGGGACCCGCACAAGCGUUGGAGCAUGCUCCUCAAUUCGAUGCUACGCGAAGAACCUUACCCAGGCUUGACAUAUACCCGUAAGCUCUAGAAAUAGGGCCCCUCUUCGGAGCGGGUAUACAGGUGCUGCAUGGCUGUCGUCAGCUCGUGUCGUGAGAUGUUGGGUUCAGUCCCGCAACGAGCGCAACCCCUGUCCCUAGUUGCCAGCACAUAAUGGUGGGAACUCUAGGGAGACUGCCUGUGUUAAGCAGGAGGAAGGUGGGGACGACGUCAAGUCCUCAUGGCCCUUACGCCUGGGGCUGGAAGCGUGCUACAAUGGCCGGUACAAAGGGCUGCGAUACCGCGAGGUGGAGCUAAUCCCAAAAAACCGGUCUCAGUUCGGAUUGAAGUCUGCAACUCGA
rnacentral:rRNA from 1 species